rnacentral:rRNA from 1 species
CCUAAAAUCUAGCCCUUAAACAUUCCCCCCAUAACUGUUAAUAAUAAAAUCAUUUUUAACUUUUAGUAGAGGCGAUCGAAAAAUUACUAGGAGCCUAAGAAAUAGUACCGCAAGGGAAAAAUGAAAUAAAGUGAAAGAGUAUAAAGCUUACUACAGCAGAGACCUCACUCGUAC